rnacentral:rRNA from 1 species
UACGGCAGCCAUAUCACCCUGUAGCCCAAGACUGGUUGCCCACUGAAGCUAAGCAGGGCUGAGCCUGGUCAGUACCUGGAUGGGAGACCUCCUGGGAAAACUAGGUUGCUGUUGGAA